AAUCAUAUUUAUAGAUACGGUCUCCUCAAAUAUAUCGCACUGUUAUCCCUAAAGUAACUUACACAUAAAAUCUUUAUUUUAAGGAUCUUUUAAUUUUAUUUUGAUAUACACAAAAUCACUGCCCCAGUAAAUUAAUACUAUUUAUUAAUAUAAUUAGCUACUAAUUAUAAAGCUUUUAGGGUCUUAUCGUCCCUUAACUUAUUAAAGAAUUUUUACUUUAUGUUUACUUUAAUAUUAAAAAUUACAAACUAAUUAAGUUAAUUAAACCGUUCAUACUAGUUUCCAAUUAAAAAGCAAUUGAUUAUGCUACCUUAGCACA
rnacentral:rRNA from 1 species